CCGCUGGGAAGAGAAAGAUGAGACGCUUUCUCAGUCUCAUAAAAGAGUGCAGCAGUGUGUCGGCCGACUCUGGUACGCCUUUAUGUUUAUAGCACUGUCCAGCCCUCCACGAAUAGUGAGAAGGUCCUGUGCAUGUUAGUAAGCAAAGAAGAGUCAAAACAUCCAGCAGGAGCAGGAAGAGAAGAGAUACUCAGCAUUGCAAAGCUAUCGUGAGAAGUAGAGGACAAGGUCCCUCCCUGUGUUCAGGUUUGAAGGUAAGAAUGUUUUGAUUUUUAAGAAUUUAUUCGGCAGUGGUGGCUAGGGCGGUAGUGGCAGCAGUCGGGGCUUGCAGCAGGCCUCAGGGCUAGGAGCACGGCACGGCCUAGAGCAACAGACAGCACAGUGGCCAAGAAGGAGGCGC
rnacentral:lncRNA from 1 species